UACGUAGGGUGCGAGCGUUAAUCGGAAUUACUGGGCGUAAAGUGUGCGCAGGCGGCCGAGCAAGUCGAGUGUGAAAGCCCCGAGCUUAACUUGGGAAUUGCGCUCGAAACUACUUGGCUGGAGUGUGGCAGAGGAAGGUGGAAUUCCACGUGUAGCGGUGAAAUGCGUAGAGAUGUGGAGGACACCGAUGGCGAAGGCAGCCUUCUGGGCCAACACUGACGCUCAUGCACGAAAGCGUGGGGAGCAAACAGG
rnacentral:rRNA from 1 species